rnacentral:lncRNA from 1 species
GCCUUGGCUUGCUGAUCGGCAACAAGCUUAGACCGAGCUUCCCAACCUGAAUGGAGAUGUUGCCGAUCUCCCCGGCCACUUCAUUUGCUCAGUGCCUAGGUCGAGUCGAAUUUCAGCAGUAACAAAUUGGUAAUAGAGGAAGAGCUAGCGAUCCUAUUUUUGGAAGUUUGACAAAUCAACAAAUUUGUAGCCAUGAAGUUGAGGAGAAUCCGGGAUGCUACCACUACCACUCAAUCAGAAGUUCGCCAGAAUUUGAUACUUCUCUAUAGAACCCCCAAAGGGCUCCACCCCUAUAGUGCCUAGAUCGAGUCGGAUUUCAGCAGUAACAAAUUGGUAAUAGAGGAAGAGCCAACGAUCCUAUUUUUGGAGGUUUGACAAAUCAACAAAUUUGUAGCCAUGAAGUUGAGGAGAAUCCGGGAUGCUACCACUACCACUCAGUCAGAAGUUCUCCAGAAUUUGAUACUUCUCUAUAGAACCCUCAAAGGGCUCCACCCCUAUAGAAUCUAUAGCCAACACCAGUAGUCACUAUUAAGCAAAUCGAUCUACUCAUGCAAUAAGUUCAGACAUUAACCAUGAUUAGUUUAUAGGGGGCAUUUGGUAUGAGAUGAUGUGCUCAAGAUCGAGGGUGAUGUGGGUGGAGGUGAUGAGAUCACCAUAUUUGGUUGCAUCAAAGUGGUUCUAUAUGGUAGUGAUUUCAAAUCACCUCCACUCCUUAAAUCACUCCCAAAUCAGUGACGGGAUAUCUAUCCUCAAGAUCGAGAACUCAAGAUCAUCCCUAGCUAGGCAG